rnacentral:tRNA from 1 species
GAAGGUAUAGCUCAGUGGUAGAGUGUACACUUGGCAUGCAUGAGGUCCUGGAUUCAAUCCCCAGUACCUCUG